CAAGUCACCUGUGGUGACACAAAGCAAUUCGCAUCUACUGAAAUCCAGUAUCAUCCAAGCUACACGUGUCCAAAACUAUGAGAAAUCGAGUCCAUCAGCACAAUUCGAGGUAUAGGCAUUGAGGUACAAUCGUCAGUCUUCUUGAGGCAGCCUGAGCAGUCGUUGCCCAUCGUUGAGGUACAAUCGUCAGUCUUCUUGAGGCAGCCUGAGCAGUCGUUGCCCAUCGUAGAUGUCAAUCGUGAGGAUGCACCGAGUAUGCUACAUAUUUACGCACAAGGGAGGGCGUUCGCUAGAUUAGAG
rnacentral:lncRNA from 1 species